rnacentral:rRNA from 1 species
UACGAAGGGGGCUAGCGUUGCUCGGAAUCACUGGGCGUAAAGCGCACGUAGGCGGCUUUCUAAGUCAGGGGUGAAAUCCUGGAGCUCAACUCCAGAACUGCCUUUGAUACUGGAGAGCUUGAGUCCGGAAGAGGUGAGUGGAACUCCGAGUGUAGAGGUGAAAUUCGUAGAUAUUCGCAAGAACACCGGUGGCGAAGGCGGUUCUCUGGGCCUGUACUGACGCUGAGGAGCGAAAGCGUGGGGAGCGAACAGG